rnacentral:rRNA from 1 species
GACGUAGGGCGCGAGCGUUGUCCGGAUUUAUUGGGCGUAAAGAGCUCGUAGGCGGCUUGUCGCGUCGACCGUGAAAACUCGCAGCUCAACUGCGAGCCUGCGGUCGAUACGGGCAGGCUAGAGUUCGGUAGGGGAGACUGGAAUUCCUGGUGUAGCGGUGAAAUGCGCAGAUAUCGGGAGGAACACCGGUGGCGAAGGCGGGUCUCUGGGCCGAUACUGACGCUGAGGAGCGAAAGCGUGGGGAGCGAACAGG